CCUACGGGUGGCAGCAGUGAGGAAUAUUUGUCAAUGGGCGGAAGCCUGAACCAGCCAAGUAGCGUGCAGGAUGACGGCCCUACGGGUUGUAAACUGCUUUUAUACGGGAAUAACGCGCCUUACGUGUAGGUCUUUGCAUGUACCGUAUGAAUAAGGACCGGCUAAUUCCGUGCCAGCAGCCGCGGUAAUACGGAAGGUCCGGGCGUUAUCCGGAUUUAUUGGGUUUAAAGGGAGCGUAGGCCGCAUGUCAAGCGUGCUGUGAAAUGUCCGGGCUCAACCCGGGCCUUGCAGCGCGAACUGGCGUGCUUGAGUCCGCGGAAAGCAGGCGGAAUUCGUCGUGUAGCGGUGAAGUGCUUAGAUAUGACGAAGAACCCCGAUUGCGACGGCAGCUUGCUGCAGCGGAACUGACGCUGAUGCUCGAAAGCGCGGGUAUCGAACAGGAUUGGGUACCCCUGUGGC
rnacentral:rRNA from 1 species